rnacentral:rRNA from 1 species
UACGGAGGAUCCGAGCGUUAUCCGGAUUUACUGGGUUUAAAGGGUGCGUAGGCGGGCGCCUAAGUCGGCGGUGAAAGGCAGCGGCUCAACCGUUGAGCUGCCGUUGAUACUGGGCGCCUUGGAUUCGGUCGAGGCCGGCGGAAUGCGCGGUGUAGCGGUGAAAUGCUUAGAUAUCGCGCGGAACGCCGAUUGCGAAGGCAGCUGGCCGGGCCGAGAUUGACGCUGAGGCACGAAAGCGUGGGGAUCGAACAGG